rnacentral:lncRNA from 1 species
CUUCUCAUAACUAGACAACAUUAGUAAUAUUUUUGUUUAUGGAUAUUCAUCAUCACAUUCUUCAUCAUUAGCAUCCAAAUAUUCUUCUUCUUCUUCAACAUCAUCUUUUUCACCAUCUUCACGGGAUUCGAGUGGGCGUGAAAGGUCUGGAAGGGUCCUUGCCUCACCAAGUAUCUUCAUAAUGUCGUCUACUCUUUGAGGAGAAAGGUUAAUAAGAUUAACAUUCCUUUGGUAAUAGACUGCUUGGGCGGACUCCUUUAGUUCUCUUGGCAAAUUCUUCAGGAACCAUGCAUGACUCCUAAUCUCUUUGAGCGUAAUUCUCUGAACAGUUCAAAUAACAAAAAUUUAAAGAACAAUUAGUUGAUAACAAGUUUAAAUUUAUAAAGAAUAGUCUGUUGUUUACGUUUACAUUUACUUUCAAAUUUAUUUGAAAAUGUUAUUUUUAUAUUUCAGUUUUAUAAUCUACAAAUACAUGUAAAAUAGGAUAAGUGUUUUAUAAACUAAACUUUUUAAAUGAAAACACAAUCUUUUUUGUUUUAGUUAGAACAAUCUGAUAUAUAUUUUACUUGUUGACAAAAAAAAGGGGAUACUUACAUGUGAUGGAUUAGCAACAAAUAUACGAGACAAUAAGUUCCUGCAAUCUUCAGAUAUGUGAACAUAUCCUGGAAUUUUGUACUUAACAGCCAUUAUUUUCUGAAAUUCCAUCAGAAUGACAUAAGAUUGUGUUUAUACGGAUCAAAAAAUGACGUCAUCUCAUUUUAUGUUAUCUAAAAAAGAAAAAAACCUGGACAGUUUUUCGGAAAUUGCGGGGAUCUUUAGGGUCUUCGAAAGGGUAAGCUCCUACCAACAUAACAUAGAGUGCCACUCCACAAGACCACACAUCAACUGACUGUAUGUAGAAAUAUUAUAUCAAACAACCUCGGAUUUCAUUUUCUUUCUUUUAGGAACAAUAAGCAACUUAAACACAAAACUUAGUCCGUCCAUAAUAAAUAAAACUAUUAAAUAAUAUGUAACUUGGCAACAUUUCAUCACUUGCGACAUAUAUGAAAGGACGGUUUAACCAUACUCUUCGUCAAGCACCAAUUUAUGACACUUUACAACAGCUUGGCGAAUCUGUUAAAAAGUUUCAGUAGGCAUUCCAGUCAACCGACAGAGCUCAGUUUCAUUAUGUUGCAAGAUGUCAACUGAAUCCAAUAGCUCAUUAGGGAUUGGGGUAUCGAUUCCUUCCACGUCAGAUGACCGGCACAAUUGCUCUCUUCACAGCCUGCAACACAUCCAUCACCAACCUAUACUUAGAGAAGUCUAUUCAACAUAAUGAUACAUUAGCAAUCUCAUCCUGAUGAUUCAAAUAGUAUAUGAUCAUUGAUCAAUCUACAUUCCAGCUCCAAAUGCUACAUCCUUUCAAAGACACUAUUGCACUAUCUAAACUGGAAGCGUCAUCCCUUGAAUGACAUCAAGAUUGGAAUCAAUAAAGUUACAAACUUGAUACAAACCUUAGCAACUUGAAUGUUGAUGGAGUGUGGGAUCUCUCUUUGAAGCUGCACAACACCAGCAUUCCUCACGAUCUCCAGCUCAUCAUCAAUCAUCUUCUCAGGCCACCCUAUCAUAUUAGCACCAUCUACGAUAAUGAUCGAGUUAUGCCCGUCCGAUUGCAGCAUCUCCUCUGUCACCAACUUCCUCAGAUUGGUUUUAGUUCUGAUAUGUUGGUAAGGAAUAAAAAACCAAUCCUUAAGGAAAAAGAAACACAGUUGACAAAAAAAAAGAAUAAGGAACUCUACAACCUGAAUUAGAACAUAUUAAUAAGCGUCUAGAAUGAAUGAAAUGUGAAAACAGUAAGCAUUAGGAAAAAUGUAGGCAAUGGACCUGAGGAGGGAAUUUGACCACAUAGGUGUCGAGCCCUGACUCUGCUACUGUUUCUAUUUUAUUAACACCACCAUAUUUGGUCAAACUUGUGGAAGAGUCUAAGUCAUCAUUACCAAAGCUAAAAAAUAAAACAGACGUAUUUGUUUACAUGGGGGGUUUUCAAGCAAAAACUCAAGAAUAAAUUGUUAAAGCUAGAGCAAGUUACUGGGAUACGAAGGUGUCACCGUCACUUGUUUCUUUGUCAAAGUAUAAAUGUGUGCCAGAAGUUGCAUUUAGGAAAAGCCAGCCUGCAAGUUGCAGGAGAUUAAUGAAAGGUGAAAGUGGCACUGCAAAAGUUGGAUGUGGAAUUCAAAUGAAGGAGGUUACCUCCCAUGAAUUUGAGGUUAUUGCUGGUGGCGACGUCACGUUAGGCCAAUAACUGCAGUGAAGUGAAGUUCCAUGUUAAAAAGAGCAUAAAAGAUUGGCAAACACUAAUAUGUAAUGAAACAUGAGAAGAAUCAAUCUCAAAAUGAUUAUUGUAAAUUUAUAAAUAAACUUCAAACACCAGAUUGCAAAGUUUCUCAAUAACUUAGCUUCUUAAAUUUUAUUUUUUAGAUCUUGAAAAAAAAAAUUACAGAUCGACUCAAGCCUUCAUGAUGGUCAUCUUUCUACUCUUGGUGAUAGUGAAGAAAGGAGGAAGAAGAUCUAAAGAAACGAUUCCCAUCCGUAACGACCGUUAAAUGACCUAAGUCCAUUUUCUCAUUCAUGCAGAAGUUACUAAAAUCGAUAAUGCCAACGAUUGCAGUCUAUAGCGGUUCCAGAUUCACAUAGCCAGUGAGAAGAAAUCUAGAUGAACAGAUGAUGGCUUCCACCGGAGACUGGCCAAGACUACACUCCACGGUGGCUUCCAUGAGGGUCACCUGAAACAGAUGAACGAAUCAAAUUCAACAAACGUGUGCGAAGUCAUCUCCCAAAUGGGUUAAGAAAAGUUGUUGAUUAAAAAGCUUGUUUAUUCUGACUUUUAACACAACCUUUUGUUUUUUAAAACAUGAUGUUCAAAGGAAUUACCAGAAAUCGAACUCCACGGAGAGAGCACAUCGGCGAGUUUCAAGUCAGCAAAGAAUAGAGAUCCAUUACCCAUUCUUUUGCAAGAAGAAGUUUCAAUUAUUAUUGAGUGUUAUGAGAAUGAUGUUUACAGAAUGUAGCUGUGCCUUUUUAUAGCUUUAGAUGCACCACCUGGAAGAGAGGCAGAUGCAAUGAAUUAGAAAUCGUGGUGGAAGUGGAUUUAAUGGCAGUGAAUCAAUUCAGGCCGUGACGUGCCCAUGGGGAAGAAGAUGAGAGGAAACCAUACUUAAACAUUGCGAUCCAUGUAAUUGACAUGACGAUUUGUCUUAAUUGAUUCUCCGGAAAAACCAUUACCGGAAAGGAAUGAAAGAUUGAAGAACAUUAAGAACCCUAGAUUUUUUGGACCACGUUCUCGAAGAACGUUCUUGAGGAAGGUGAAUAUAAGAAUCAGAGAGUAAUUGUUCUUCAAACAGCCCAAAUAAAGAGUAACGAAGCCCAUAUAAAUCGUAAAGCCCAAACGAAUUGCAAACCAAAAUAAAUGAAACGAUGAGUUUUGCUUCUGGGACACAUGUCGCGCUGUCAGAACCCGACUUACUGAAGUGGCAUCCCAUGUGGACACUAUAGGAGAGAAGGAAACUCAAUUAUAUAAUAAUAGAUAGAUAUAUAUAUAGAUAGAUAUUUCUUAGUAUUCAUUUAUAAUAAGAAUUUUCUCUUAUAUCACUUAUCAUUGUUUGAUCCUUGUAUGGUUAAUUGCAAAUCCUCAAUCAACAGCAUAGUAUUAUUUGAUUAAUAAUAUUAAUCAGAGAUGUAAACGUUUUUCCAAAGAACAUAUCGUGCAGAAAAAUAUUCGAGCAUGUGUGGCCCAUUUUUUAGCAUACUCAUGAAAAUUUGGAUAGGUAACAUGCAUUUUAGACCCAGCCCAAUUUUCGAUAGUAAACAGUCAAAGAUAAAUUUUAUAUCACUUUUCAUCGUUUGAUCCUUGUAUGGUUAGUUGCAAAUCCUCAAUCAAUAGCAUAGUGUUAUUUGAUUAAUAAUAUAUUAUUAAUAUAUUAUUAAUAUAUUAUUAAUCAGAGAUAUAUACAUUUUUCCAAAGAACAUAUCAUAUAGAAAGUUAUUUGAACCUGUGUGGCCCAAUUUCUAACAUACACAUAAAAAUUUGGAUAAAUAUCAGGUAUUUAGGCUCAGCCCAAUUCUCGAAAGUAAACAACCAAAAAUAAAUCUAACAUAUCAGAGCCAGAUUUCGAUCUUGGGACCUGUGGGUUAUGGGCCCACCACGCUUCUGCUGCGCCAUUCUGAUAUCUGUUGUAUACUACUUCUACUUACAUUUUGAAAUAAAAUAAUUUUUUUUAAACUACUUACAAUAAAAAAAACUGAGGGAAGGAGUAUCAUUUUAAACUGUUAAGUUUGUUUUUGUUUGGUCUAACAUACAAGUAGAAUGAUCAUCAGUACACCUAAUACAUUAGACUCGAUUUUCGUUCUCUCUCUCUCAUCAUUGACACACAAGCUAGUUGUACUCUUUUCAUACCUUCCUCGUCUUCUUUUCCCAACAUAAUCGAUUUGUUACUCAAAGUAGAUUUUAUUUUUGUUUGUUAUGUUCUUUUGUAACUUAAAACCGAAAUUUAAAAAUAAAAUUACAAGUACUUCUCAUAACUAGACAACAUUAGUAAUAUUUUUGUUUAUGGAUAUUCAUCAUCACAUUCUUCAUCAUUAGCAUCCAAAUAUUCUUCUUCUUCUUCAACAUCAUCUUUUUCACCAUCUUCACGGGAUUCGAGUGGGCGUGAAAGGUCUGGAAGGGUCCUUGCCUCACCAAGUAUCUUCAUAAUGUCGUCUACUCUUUGAGGAGAAAGGUUAAUAAGAUUAACAUUCCUUUGGUAAUAGACUGCUUGGGCGGACUCCUUUAGUUCUCUUGGCAAAUUCUUCAGGAACCAUGCAUGAC